rnacentral:lncRNA from 1 species
UUGCUACUAUCCCUUUAGGCUACAAAGAAUGUCUCUCGAUGUGAGUGAUGUAUAGAGAAGACUGCAACCGUAGUCUCGUUCUAACCUUGGUAAGGAUGAUCUACUGUUCUAUUGAGGAGGCUCACGGAAUCUAGACAACACAAAGGAUGUUCGACCCACACCUAUAAACCCUACCCGUCCUGCUAACAAGAUAUGGGAUACAAAGGUAACUUGGAAAUGUCACGUUCCUCGCUACUACCACGGUCCAGCUAGUCAGGGGAUAUCUAUGAGUACCCUAGCCUAAACACCACGUUUACGCCAGCAAUGAUUACUCUAAUACUCAACCGGAAGAGGAUUCAAGUAAACUCAUAAACCAAAGAACAAUAAAACAAGAACUUACUAGCAUUAGAAGUCAAAUUACUGAAGAAUCUUAGAAGCAAGCCUCGGGUUAGGAGACUUGAUCCUGUAGGUACAACUCGGAGUAGACACCGACAGGCCGGCCUUCCUCCGAUCCACACCUCCACUCUAUCUCUCUCAAUCUAGUAGAAACUAGAAGAUCUAUUUCUACUUUACAUUGGUUUCUAAGCCUAAAAAGAAAUAUUAUUUAGAGAAGAGGUAUUCCUUCGAGGGCACCCCUCAAUCUCUAUGAUAAUUUCUUGUCUUCUCCAGGGGCCAGGGGGGUCUCCUUAUAUAGUCCUCCCCUUCUAUGCGUUUUUGGGUCGGUAGGCGAGGUGGUACUAUGUUAUUCUGAAUCCAAUAGGUCGGUGGAGAUCUCCCGAGAGAAAGAGUCCUGAUUGGGCUCGGCAGGUGGGCGGGCGCCCAAGGAAACUGGGCGGGCGCCCAGGUCCUGGCCCCGUUUCGCCUCCGCUUCGGUCUCGUGGCUUCUGGAGUCUUCUAGAUGGUAGAAAAUUGCGCGGUACGUUGAUAUCUCUAUGUAAUCCUGACAUGUGGGCCUUUCUUCCUUAUUUCCUGAUAACCCCCUGCAGAAAUAGACAAACACCAAAACUCGUGGAAUUCUAUCAGAUAAAACCCUAAGUCUAGAUGUUGAUUUCAUUUGGAUCCUUUUCUUUGUUUAUUUGAUAAUUAAAUUUGAUACUUAAGGACCGUCAACAAACUCCCCCAAGCUUACCUCUUGCUCAUCCCUGAGCAAGGAUGAACUCAAGAGUUUCUGCAGUGGUUUCAUGCUUUAAAAGUACACACGCAUUCAAGCAAGAUCUCAUCUCUGAGUUAGAAUAAACUGGUAAGACUUAAAACUUACUCAUUUUACCUUUCACCAUGGGGCUUGUAACCGUCACUUGUGUCUUGAGCAGUUAAAAGAUAGAACGGUCAAGUCAAGCGCCAUGUCUCUUAUUCUUGAUCAGCUAUAGCUCUGGAGUUUUUACAGAUUUUUAAAUAAAACUCAGAGAUUCCUUAUAUGACUCUCUCAGAUCUCUCUUUUGUGGUAUUUCUGGAUCCUCACUAAGGCAGUACUGGUAUAUGCCUUCUCUCAAAGUAUGUAGUAUUUAUGGUAUGAGGCAUAGUGAUAUUGCCUUUUCUCUCACCCUACUCUAAUAAGGUUUUGAUAUCUGGAGCUCAUAGGUGGGAGACAGAUAAUACAUACUUACAAGACAUUUAUUGCAUAGUCAAACCAUGGAUCUAGAGAAACAAGUCAUUAAGUCAAAUCAAGAUGUGCAUGUGUGGCGAAUGAAUGGUGUAUGGUGAUGAUGAUGAUAAUAAUGGUGAAAGUCUAAUUCUACUUUUGCUCUUUUGAGGGGAUACAUACCUUUCUUGCACUUUGAACCUUUUUUGGGAUAAUGAGAUGCUCUAUAUUUUCUUUUUUUCUUUUUCUCUCAGGUGGGUAUCUUGUACCUCUAAUUCUACUGUCGGACACUUGUCCAUUUUUACCUCUCGUCUCACUUUUUCUUUUCUUUCGAGGUUCCGGACACUUGCCCCUUUUUAUUUCCUCGUAUUUUUCCUCUUUUUUUUUUCCUUUUUUUAGAGCACUCAUCUCCUUAAAUAAUAUAGCAAGUGGUAGUAACCAAGAUAACUCGAGCAUUUAUUUCACACGGAAUAACAGGGAUAGAAAAAUAUUUUUGGCUAUUCUCUCCCGGAUUAGGAGUAGAAUAAUUUUGGGUGAAUGUGGAGAUGGAAAUGAGUGGAUAUAUGUGGAUGGUACUUCCGGAGUAGAAGUAGCAUGUAUGAGUGAACGUGCAAGUGAAUCUUGAUUUUAACCACAUGACAAGCUCCUAAGGGUCUACACAGCUUGACCACACUCAAUGCUCAUAAGCAGUAAAAAGUAAAUAUGUGGCUCAAAGUCUAGCAAGCAUGUAUAUAUGGCUGUGGUAGGAAUUUAAACUCUCAUCAUAUAGGAACUCAUCAUGUGUUAUUUUAAAGAUUUUUCAAAGAUAAAAUUCUCCAGAAUUCUAGCAUCUCUAGGAACAGAUAAACAGCAGCUCAACCUUCCCAUAUCAUAUCCGUUAACAACUUAGACUUUAGAUCAAGUACUCUUCCCACAAGUUUAGGUUUAGAGCAAAUCUUACUUCAUAACAGUUAUGCCUAAACUUGAGAGAGAUUUCAAUUUUAAGAACUAGUCAUGGCAGAGCAACUAUUCAUCAUUUCCAUGUGAGAGCUUAUCAUGAGGGUUCAUAGCAAACUUUAUUUAUUUAGCAAACUAAGCAAAAUUAUAUAAAAGCACAAAAUCUUUAUUUGGGUUUUCAUGAUUAUGCAUCUUUUAUUAUUUGAGUAAAGUAUAAACACGAGUAGAAACACUUAGCUAGAUAAAUGGGGGUGCUCUCCCCCAAGCUGGAUUUUGACGUAAUUUCUUCUGAUGUAGCUAGCAGGUGGCAGAGGUGUAUUUGAAAGUCAGCAGCAUUCUGACAGCGAUUAGAAUGUCCUCCGUCUGCUAAUCUUCUAGAUUCUUAAAUUCUGUGGAGCUCAAAUAGACAACAAAGCUUUGUGGAACUGGUUAAGUGUUAGCAUAAAAUCUCUUUGCCUUCAUAUUGAGCUUCCUCAAUAAAUAUUACUUAUUUAGCAGGAUCAUGCACUUAUUAUUUUUAUAUUUUUAUUGUAAGAUAAAAACUUAUUUAUUUUAUUUUUAUGCCACCACAGUGAAUGUACUUAUGAGUUUUAUGCCAUGAGCAUACUCACAUGGGGCUUACUAUUUUUUUAACAUUUUUAUUAUUUUUUUUUCAAGAUAGCAUGAACCUGAUUAACUAAGCAAACUAUAAUUGAAUAAUUGAAAGGAAAAGGAUAACUACCAAGUUUACCUCUUGGCAAGACGUUCGGUCUUUUUAAAUCCUCCGAAUGGGACUCCUUGUGUUUUCAGUCGUUCUGGGAUUCGCUAGGUAGCGUAGUCGGUGGUUCCGGCGGCGCCUCCUCUUCGUGUAUAACUAUCUUCUCCCUCCACACCUGACUCGGUGCUACGGUCUCCUCAGGACAGUUCUGUUCAAGCUGUAUGUCUUCAGUCCUUAUCACUUUUCCUUCGUAGUCUACCCAUCCGUUCUUGAUGAUUUGCCUCCUCUGGUUUCGGUUGCGUCGUCUUCUUGUCCUGACCUGCUUAGAGUCUUCAACUAUAUAGUUAAGGUCAGUAAAAUAGCGGCAUACCUUCUGUUGGGUAUUCUUAACAUCAUUACUAAAAGUAGACUAAGUUCUCUAAAUCUAGUAACGGUGCCAAAAAUGCCAAACCUAUCCCUCACACCACUUAAGCCAAGUUGUCAUCCCCAGCAUGAUAUGAGAGACGCGGUAUUGAAAUAUGCAAUUGCUCUUCUAAAUAAAUAAUGAAUGGGAUCUGCAAGCGCACAGAUUAAUACCGAUGUAGCAUUUUAACCGGAAAGUAUUCCAGGUAUCGUUAUUUAUAUUUUUACCACUGGGAAGGGAUUAGCAAUCAUCACUAUUGAUUACAGAAUAGAAUAUGAGAUUGAGCAUCUAUCAUUGCAUGUAUAAUUGAGAACAUUGUAUCUAACUCAUCAUACAGGGAUAAGUGUCACAUAAAAGAUAUAUGAAAUAAUAAUAGUGACAAGGAUAACUAAUCUGAUCUAGCCACAUAAUAAAUAUGAUAAGCACCUCAAUUAGAUACUCUAGAAAGUCAUUAGCAUGGUAUUAGAACGAACUACAAGAAUAUUCCCUAAGUUAUUCUCAACUAUAUAGUCUAGCAUUAUCAUAGUUAGUGCAAGCAUACUUAGCAAUCAUUGCGAGACAAGACUACACCCAUGCAUAGUGAUAUUAGCAAGGAAUAUGAGAAACAUAGCAAUCACUCCCCUGUAAUAAUGUUGCUCUGCCAGCCCAAUACACGAGAGGGGGACUAUAUAAGAAUCAAUGAAGCUGUCACUAUCACGAACCACCCCACGAUCUGGCAUAUUGGGUACAAUCGCAGAUAAAUACGGUAUAAGCACCACGCCUACACAAUAUCUAUCAUUUACCCAUGGAUCCGAUGGAUAAACGCUAUACGAUCCUAAGCAUGUAUAUAGAUCGAAUCUAACUAAGCCAAGUACAUAACUAUGAUAAACUAAGAACAAUAUAAUCUUGAAUAUAAGCAAGUAGAGCAAAGUCAUAAGCAAUAUAUUGAAGUAGAACAAAGUCAUAUUCAUAAUAUUGAAGAACAAAGAUAAUUAAAGUAAUUAGAAACACAAUUAGAGAAUUACCAAGAAUCCUCUUGACAGAUCCGGAAACCAAUCGAAGAUUGACUCCUUCUAGUUCUAAUCCUAUGUAGCUAUGCUAAUCUAGAUAUCUAAUUGAUGUGGUGGCUCUAAUCUUGAUCAGAGGCUUCUUCUCCCUUGAUGGAACAAUGAAUUAGGGUUGAGAGGCUCUCUCCACCAGGGGCCAGGGGGUCUGGUUUUAUAGUCCCUUCAAAUGAAUAUGGGCCCUUGGAUCAAACCGACAUAGAUUGUAUGGUUUAGAUUCAUCCUUUAGGUCGGUGGAGAUCUCCCGCAAAGCAGAGUCCUGAUUGGACUCAGGAGGUGGGCGGGCGCCGUGACCAACUGGGCGGCCGCCCAGGGUCUGGCCCCGUUUCGCCUCCGCUUCGGUCUCGUGGCUUCUGGAGUCUUCUAGAUGUAAGAUAAUUGCGCAGCACGUUAAUACCUUUACGUAAUCCUCACAUGUGGGCCUUUCUUCCGUAUUUCCUGAUAACCCCCUGCAGAAAUAGACAAACACCAAAACUCGUGGAAUUCUGUCAGAUAAAACCCUAAGUCUAGAUCUUGAUUCCAUUUGGAUCCUUUUCUUUAUUUAUUUGAUAAUUAAAUUUGAUACUUAAGGACCGUGAACAAACUCCCCCAAGCUUACCUCUUGCUCGUCCCUGAGCAAGGAUAGACUUAGCUAUGGAUCAUAAGUUGUUGCAAUAUCUUUUAAAAAUUUUACGGUACACAUGCUUUUUAAAUAAGAUCUCAUCUCUAAGUUAGAGUAAACUGUCAAGACUUAAAACUUACUUACUUUACCUUCACCAUGGGACUUGUAACUGUCACUUCUGUCUUGAGUGGUUAAAAGAUAGAACAGUCUAGCCAAGUGCCAUGUCUCUUAUUCUUGAUCAGCUAUAGCUCUGGGAUUUUUGCAGAUUUUCAAAUAAAACUCAGAGAUUCCUUGUAUGAUUCUCUCAGGUCUCUCUUUUGUGGUAUUUUUGGAUCCUUACCAAGGCAUUGAUGGUAUAUGCCUUCUCUCAAGAUAUGUGGUAUUUGUGGUAUGAGGCAUAGUGACAUUGCCUUCUCUCUCACCCUACUCUAAUAAGGCUUUAAUAUCUGGAGCUCAUAGGUGGGAGAUAAAAUAUACAUACUUACAAGACAUUUAUUGCAUAGUCAAACCAUGGAUCCAAAGUAACAAGUCAAUAAGUUUAAUCAAGAUGUGCAUGUGUGGCGAAUGAAUGGUAUAUGGUGAUGAUGGUGAUAACAAUGAUGAAAACAAUGGUGGUGGAAGUCUAAUUCUACUUUUGCUCUUUUGAGGGGAUACAUACCUUCCUUGCUUUUGAAACUUUAUGAGGAGAAUGAGAUGCUCUUCUUUUUCUUGUCUCUCAGGUGGGUAUCUUGCACCCCUAAUUCUACUGUCGAACACUUGUCCAUUUUUACCUCUCGUCUCACUUUUUCUUUUCUUUCGAGGUUCCGAGCACUUGCUCCUUUUUAUUUCCUCAUAUUAUUUCCCCUUUUUUUUUCAGAGCAUUCAUCUCUUGAGAUAAUAUAGCAAGUGGUAGUAACAAGAUAACUUGAGCAUUUAUUUCACAAGGAAAAAUAGAAAUGUUUUUGGUUAUUCUCUCCCGGAUUAGUAGUAGAAUAUUUUUAGGUGGCUCUGGAGAUGGAAAUGAGUGGAUGUGUGUGGAUGCGUACUUCCAGAGUAGAAGUAGCAUAUAUGAGUGAACGUGCAAGUGAAAUCUUGAUUUAACCACAUGACAAGCUCCUAAGGGUCUUCACAGCUUGACCACACUCAAUGCUCAUAAGUAGUAAAUAGUAAAUGUGUGGCUCAAAGUCUAGCAAGCAUGCAUAUAUGGCUGUGGUAGGAAUUUAAGCUCUCAUCAUACAGGAACUCAUCAUGCAACAUUUUAAAGAUUUUCAAAGAUAAAAUUCUCUAGAAUUCUAGCAUCUCUAGGAACAGAUAAACAACAGCUCAACCUUCUCAUAUCAUAUCCGUUAACAACUUAGACUUCAGAUCAAGUUUUCAUCCCACAAGUUUAGGUCUAGGGCAAGCUUUAAAUUAUAACAGUUAUGUCUAAACUUGAGAGAGAACUUAAAAUGUGCAAAUUAGGCAGAGCAACUAUUCAUCAUAUCCAUGCUUAAGUUUUAUUUAGAUACAGAUUAGCAUAGCCACUUUAUUUAUUUAUUAAACACACUAAGCAAAAGACAUAUAUAAGCAUAAAAUCUUUAUUUGGUUUUUCCAUAGUUUAUGUGUAUUUUAAUAUUCUAAAAUAGUAUAAGUAUAAAGAUAGAUAGAAAUACUUAUCGGGAUAAAUGGGGGUGCUCUCCCCCAAGCUGAAUUUUGACGUAAUUUCUCUUGAUGUAGCUAGCAGGUGGCAGAGGUGUAGUUGAAAGUCAGCAGCAUUCUGACAGCGAUUAGAAUGUCCUCCGUCUGCUAGUCUUCUUGAUUCUUAAAUUCUGUGGAGCUCAAAUAGACAACAAAGCUUGUGGAACUGAUUAAGUGUUAACAUAAAUAUCUAGCCUUUAUUAUCUUGAGACUCCUUGAUAAAUAUUACUCCCUGUUUUUAUAUUUCUUUAUUUUAUAAAGCAGAAAAAUAUUUAUUUUUAUUUUUAUGCCUCCACAGUGAAUGUACUUAUGGGUUUUAUGCCACUCGUAUACUCACAUGGGGCUUACUUCUUUUUCAUAUUUUUAUUUUCUUUUUAAGAAAGUAUGAACAUGAUUAACUAAGUAAACUAUUUGAAAUAAUUGAAAGGAAAAGGGUAACUACCAAGUUUACCUCUUGGCAAGGCGUUCAGUGUUUUUAAGUCCUCCGAACGGGACUCUCCAAUUUUUUAAUCGUCCUGAGGUUCGUUGGGUGGCGUAGUCGGUACUUCCGGCAGUGCCUCCUCUUCUUGUAUAGUUAUCUUCAUUUUCCAUACCUGACUCGGUGCUUCAAUCUCCUCUGGAUAAUUCUGUUUAAACUCUACGUCUUCUGAUCUUACAACUUCUCCUUCAUAGUCUGCCCAUCCGUCCUUGAUGAUAUGCCUCCUCUGGUUGUGGUUGCGUCUCUUUCUGACCUGCUUAGAUUCUUCAACGAUAUAGUUAGGGUCAGUAAAAUAACGGCGUACCUUCUCUGAGGGGAAGUGCAUAUGGACUUCUCCGGUUCCAAUGUAGAUAAUCGCUUUAACGGUGCUGAGGAACGGCCUUUCAAGGAUGAUGGGUGGAUCGUACUCGUCUUCUCCCAUGUCAACAACUUGAAAGUCUGUGUAGACAAAGUGAUCGUCUAUUUUGACUGGGACAUCAGAUACUAUUCCUUGAACUUCUCGAAAUGUCUGAUCUGUCAUCUGGAGCUGAAUGUAUGUUGGUCUUAGUGGCAUGGUCCCGAACAAGAGCCGAUAGGUGACUGCGGCCAUUAUGUUGACGCCCGAUCCGGUGUCGCAAAUCGUCUUGUAGAAGUUGUAUCCAUUUAUGGAGCAGUAAAUGCUUGGCAUUCCUGGGUCGUCCUUCUUGGUCAAAAACGGUGACUUAAGUUGGUGAUCUUGGCCUCCAUGGACUACAGUGACCAUCUUAGCUGACUCGGUCCACACUUGCUUGUUCCUGUUCCUCCUGUUGGUCCUCUUCCUUGAUUCACGUCUGGAUUGAUUUGGAAUUUGUGUAGUCUUGUUCUUGAAGAAAAAUGUUUCCUUCUUCCCUUUGACGUAGAAACUGAUCUUGGCAGCACUAGCGUAGAUGAUAGCUCCCGUAGUGUUCAAAAAUGGCCUUCCUAGGAUGAUAGGUGCUCUCUCAUCAUUUCCGGUCUCUACCACUACGAAGUCUGCUGGUGCAUACAAGGUACCAACUCGGACACAAAGGUUCCUCACUAUUCCUUUUGGAAAAGUUAUCGUCUGAUCUGCAAACUGCAAACACAUGGUUGUCUCUAGUAAAGGAUAUGUAAAGAAUUUUUCAUAGAGUACCCUUGGUAUAAUGUUGACGCUAGAGCCAAAGUCGCAGAGUGCUUCUGGAACGUCCACCAUGCCGAUGGAGAUCGGGAUGACGGGGCGUCCUGGAUCGCCUCUCUUGACCGGCAGACGGUCAGUAGAAAAUUCAGUGAUAGGGUUACUCCAAUUACAUGCAUCAAACACGUCUACAAGAUUUGCAGAUUCUAAUCCUUCCGGUUGUGAUGGUAUACCGGGGUUAGUAGUAGGAACAGCAGCAGCUAUUUGAUUUAACUGAGAUUCAAUCAUUUUAUUAAAGCUAAUUUGAUUCUUGAUGGCAGUAGAGAAAUUAUCCAUUCUAUUAUUUAUAUUUUCUAGCAUUUUAUCAUUAGAUGCCAAUUUCUUGGAUAGGUUAUCCAUUAGCUUUCCUUGAUUAGACACUAAUUCCCUCAAAGGUGGAAAAUUACUAUUAUUGUUGUUGUAAGAAUUGUUACCUUGAUAAUUACCUGAGUAGUUAGGCCUCUGUUGAUUCCAACCUUGAUUUUGUUGAGGACGGUUGUAGUAGUUGUUGUUGUUGUUGAUGUAGUUCACAUCCUCAAGUAUCUCAGGGCAGUGGUUGCCUGAGUGUCCAGUGUCUCCACACUCCUCACAAGUCAUGUGAGAGUCGUAGAUGUGCAUAACUUCUUUCUUGUCUCCAGCUCUAUCAUCGAGCUUCUUCAUGAGUAGGUCUAGCUUUGCAGACAGCAUGUCUACCUCCUUCAGCUGAUGCAUACCUCCACCUCUCUUGCGUGUCUGGGUCCUCUCUUCAUUCCAGCUUUGGUUGGACGCCAUCUUCUCCACAAGAGCUGUGGCUUGUGGUAUAGUAAGUGAUAAGAAUGCUCCUCCAGCUGCAGCAUCCAUGGUCUCUCGGGCACUGUUGCUGAGCCCAUGAUAGAAUGUCUGCAUCAAUAGCCAACUCUCCAUUCCAUGAUGGGGACAUUCUAGGAUGUAGUCUUGAAAGUGCUCCCAUGCUUCUGGAACAGAUUCAUCAUUUUGUUGCUGAAAACUUGUAAUCUUCCCACGGAGAGCAUUGGUCUUGCCCAUGGGAAAGAACUUAGCCAGGAAGUUUGUUGAGCAGAGUGCCCACGUAGUAUUCUUCUCCUUUGUAGCGUAGAACCACUGCUUCGCUCUUCCUAACAGUGAGAAUAGGAAGAGGCGAAGUAGUAUAGCGUCUUUGGAAACUCCUGCUAUGUGCAUGUGUUGCAAAUCUCCAGGAAGUGUUGUAAAUGAGCACUAGCAUCUUCGUGUGCCUUCCCACAGAACUGGUUGGAUUGCACCAUGUUGAUAAGUCCAGGCUUGAGCUCAAAGUUGCCAUCGAUCUCUGCAGCAGGUCCAGUGCGGAUGUUGUCCAUAGUGGGAGCUGAGAACUCACGGAUCGAUUUGUUCGCCAUGGCUUCGAACUCUGAAGACAAGUUCCGGUGAUCUUCUUGAUUGGAUGAAGCUUCUUCGUGAAGUGUUGAUGAUUUCUUCUUGAGCUUGGCCCUCGUCUUCUUGAAUAAUGCUUCGGGAUUGUCAACAAAAUUCCCUGGAAGAUGUCUUCUAUUCAUACAUUCCCCUGCAUAAGGUAAAAUAGAAAAAUAUCGGGGUAAAACUGUAUGAGAGAAUAGAUAAGCUCAAUCAUAUUAGUGAUGCGAAUGAUAACUCAAAAUCUUUUAUUCCAUUACUGAUUAGUAAUCAACCUUCCCCGGCAACGGCGCCAAAAAUGCUUGUUGGGUAUUCUUAACAUCAUUACUAAAAGUAGACUAAGUUCUCUAAAUCUAGUAACGGUGCCAAAAAUGCCAAACCUAUCCCUCACACCACUUAAGCCAAGUUGUCAUCCCCAGCAUGAUAUGAGAGAUGCGGUAUUGAAAUAUGCAAUUGCUCUUCUAAAUAAAUAAUGAAUGGGAUCUGCAAGCGCAC